CCGCCGCCAACGCCGCCGCGGCCGGGGGCACUAGCCUCCCGCCCUCCCGCGCGGGCCGAGGCCGGGCCCCGCGCCUGCGAGGCCGCUCCCGCAGCGGGCCGGGCCGGGGAGCGGGCGCGGGGCCGCGGCGCGGCUCUUUGUGCGCCGGGCUGAGGAGCGGCGGGACGCGGGCCAGGCCACCUCACCCUCGCCGCCGUUGAGCUCCGGGCCCGGGGCCGAGGAGGGGCCGCGGGGCUGCGUCGGGGCCCCGCUCUCGACGGCGUCCCGGGCCGGCUCCAUUUUGUGCGGGGAGCCGGCCGAGGGGCGGGAGACGCGGCCCGGGCCCUGGCCCCGUAGCCCCGGCGGCGGCGCGAGUCCCCGGGGGCGCCCUCCUCCCGCCCGCGGGGCUGUGGCGGGGCCCGGCGCUUUGUCUGCCCGCACAUCCCGGGGGCCGCGCGGCGGGUGGGAGGCAGGCGUUGGGCGCGGGGCCGGGGCGGCCGGGCGAGUCAGGGGAUGCGCUCUGGGGGCGGCCUCCUGGCACUCGCAGGGCUGACAGGUCGCCGGGACCAGGCCGUGGGGCCGGGGCCACCCAGGCACCUGCGUGGGGAGGAAGGCAUGGCUUUAGCUUCCCCGCAGCCUGGUUUGCGCGUAAAGAAUGCAGCCAUCUGGCGGUUUGCGGUCCCUGUACUUGCCCCGAAGGUUGAAAUCACAAAGAUUAGACACCUUUUUAGAUAGGUGUUCUUCAGCACCACUGACAACACGGUUCUGACAGUAUUUCAUGACAGUUAUGUAACAUUUGUCCUGCAAGCUGAGGACAGAGACCUUGUCUGUUGUUGACAGCUACGUGACCAGCACAUAGCAUGAACCUGAUGGAUGGUGACAGUUCUACAACAGAUGCUUCUCAACUAGGAAUCUCUGCAGACUAUAUUGGAGGAAGUCAUUAUGUUAUACAGCCUCAUGAUGAUACUGAGGACAGCAUGAAUGAUCAUGAAGACACAAAUGGUUCAAAAGAAAGUUUCAGAGAACAAGAUAUAUAUCUUCCAAUAGCAAACGUGGCUAGGAUAAUGAAAAAUGCCAUACCUCAAACGGGAAAGAUUGCAAAAGAUGCCAAAGAAUGUGUUCAAGAAUGUGUAAGUGAGUUCAUCAGUUUUAUAACAUCUGAAGCAAGUGAAAGGUGCC
rnacentral:lncRNA from 1 species